rnacentral:rRNA from 1 species
AUUGAACGCUGGCGGCAUGCUUUACACAUGCAAGUCGAACGGUAACAGGGAGCUUGCUCCGCUGACGAGUGGCGAACGGGUGAGUAAUGCGUCGGAACGUGCCGAGUAGUGGGGGAUAACGCAUCGAAAGGUGUGCUAAUACCGCAUACGAACUGAGGUUGAAAGUGGGGGACCUUCGGGCCUCACGCUAUUCGAGCGGCCGCCGUCUGAUUAGCUAGUUGGUGAGGUAAAGGCUCACAAAGGCGACGAUCAGUAGCGGGUCUGAGAGGAUGAUCCGCCACACUGGGACUGAGACACGGCCCAGACUCCUACGGGAGGCAGCAGUGGGGAAUUUUGGACAAUGGGCGCAAGCCUGAUCCAGCCAUGCCGCGUGUCUGAAGAAGGCCUUCGGGUUGUAAAGGACUUUUGUCCGGGAGCAAAUGCUGGUGGCUAACAUCCACCGGAGCUGAGAGUACCGGAAGAAUAAGCACCGGCUAACUACGUGCCAGCCGCCGCGGUAAAAC